UGCCACCAGAACCGCCACCCCGCACUUCCCUUUGAACCCCGAAGCAAUUAGACCACCCUGGGAGCUCGUCUCCUUUGCCUCCAGCUGAGGCACGAGCACCCCCUUCCCAUUAUAGCCACCAUUAGCUUCUUACCGACCCAAAAACCCAUCACUCGUUCCAAUUUUGCUCGAGAACCAGUGAGUGUGACUCCCCCUAUAACCCACAAUGUUCGUCCGCCAUGGUUGAUACCUUGCUCAUCUUCGAGCUCUCCGACGGGCGUGAGUGGCAUCCCCUGAAGCGUCGUGCCUCCGUGCACAUUUUGGUGGCCGUGGCACCUCAAAUGGUGGUGUGUGCCGCCUGGUAUCGCCGCCGAAGCCAUUCUCUAUUCUAGUCCACACACGCGUGAGGUAGGAGACAAACCCGACACGUGGGUCCCACCUGUUGGUGACCAACCUUCUUCACCGUCGGCACAUACCAUUGGAUUGCAUAUUUGGAGAGGAGCACUAUGACGACAACCUCCGGAACCUAGGCAUCGAAGAUAGCGGACACGCGAGAUAGGAGUUAUCCAGGUCAGUCUAUGAAUCGCUUCCGCCAUCAGCCACUAGAAACCUUUGUUGUACUCCAUAGACCAUCAUGGUCUUGUACUCCAAAUUUUGUAAAUGCUUGGAUAUUUUGUAUCAAGGAUGUGUCCAUCAGCUAACCUUGGAUAUUUUGUAUCAAGGAUGUGUCCAUCAGCUAACCUUGGUAUCAGUAAUCUCGGGGAUGGUGAGCACAAAGGUCAUUUUUUGGGAAAUUUAUAUCUCGGAAAUCCGGCCCUGAUAACCUUAGUAUCAGAGCCAGUCUAACCAUUGGCUAAUCCUAUCUUAGCCGGGUCAAUAAACCCUAGGUUACCACCCAUCCAAGCCUUAUCCUACCCAUAGCCAAGCCUAUCCUAACUGAUAGCAUGUAUAGUGAUAAUCAUCACCUUUCAGCAGCCGAUGCCCAACCGAUGAGACUAGCCGAGCGGUCACAUGCCUGUGACCAACACCUGAGUUGUCCCAUCCGCAAGUGUGCAAGAGAAGAUUAUGUUUUCUUUCUAUAAAGGAAACGUUUUCUCCAACCCACUACACCACAACCACCUUCCAAAUCCCAAACCGCCAAGAUGUCGGUCCCCGUUGUAUACAAUGAGACCACCGCAUCUGAGCUUGGAGAUUUUGUAGAUGUUCUUGCCAACCUCAGCUGUCGUGGCUUUACCAUAGAAGAGCCCCUGGAAUAUGUUGUGUACCAGCAGCACACGAGUAAUGGCAUCCAUCACUUCCGGGCAAUGGUGCACAUCUACGACAGGGGUAUCUCGCCAGAAUGCCCUUACCAGUUCACCAGAAGGACAACUUCCUAUGAGCCACAAGCCAUCCAGCUAGCAGCUCAACAGGCUAUAGUUCAAAACCGGCACGUGUCAUCGAGGGUUAACUGCCGCUCGUUUUACUACUACCCCUAGCCAUGAAAGUAAUACUAGGCCGCUCCAAAUCGCCAACGGAGACCAUGAGACGGACCCCACCCCGUUGCAUCUUGUGCGCUACAUGAGAGCACAAGAGGCACUGUUCAAGUAGGUCACCGUCGACCUGAUUGCAACUCACGGAAAGCUAGCUCGCCUCACCCCGAGAAGAAGAGAAGCUGCACCCGAUGCCACCAAACCAAUGAUGUUGUUCGGGAGAUCGAUCGAGCCCUCGAGGUCUAUGCCUGCUGCCGACCCAAAUCAUGCGUCCGUCUCCGUGGAAGAGCUCCGUCACAUUUUGGGGAUUUUCUCCAACGGGACGGUAACCACCGCACCCCGUGAUGGACAUCAUCGCUACCCCAGCCAUGUAACUCCACAUUCUACCCGAGUCGACCGCGACAUCGAAGUCCCAGAAGCCUCGACGUCCGCAAGUCCCGCCCGACUAGAUGUCAAGGAAGUAGACUAAGCCACUAGAGUAGUAACCCAAAUUUAGUAUUCCUACGCCCUGCAAUAUUGUGAGCUUGUAUUUUCAUGAGUAAAUUGCAGGACAUUUGUGUACCAUUAUUUUUAAAUAGGACCACCUGUACCUGUGUAAGUAUCUUUUGACUUCUAUCUAUAAAGAAAAAAUUGGGUGAAACAACCAGGAACCAACCUGGUCGACAACCAUAGUAAUAUGUCACAUUUAGUGAAUUAUAUGUGUGGCUUUGACCCGACCACGUUAGAGCAUAACGACAACCGAGAUCGACCACCCUGAAAUGUGUGCGCUAGCCAAACCCUAUAUAAGGAGUCACCCAAUAACCAUCCCCAGCGCCCUCACCUUGUGCAUUGCCUUCACAACCAUUUUUCCCCAUGUCGCGCCUUGGGAUUCAUUUGAGAACCCCGGGGAGUUUUGCUAAGAUAUUGUGGGAUUUUACCCACAGUGCCAUGGGUUGUCCCCACCGACCCUAGUACGAACUGUUCAAAUUAAGGAUCACUUCCACCACCACAAAAAAUUGGGCCGUUGCGCAGAUCCCACCAGUAGAUCCAAACCAAGACCCUACGAAAGUUUCCUUCAUCGGGAAAUGUAUGCCCACUCCAGAAAUGGUCAUAGAGGUUGCUGCCUGCGAAGCAAUUACCCGCCUUCAAUUUGCAGUACCCUAUGCCAGUGAAUUGGGGUAUUAUUACUUUUCGAGCCCUGUAGCACCCAGAGAAGCAGCGUCUUUUCCCAGCACCCGAGCAAAGAGAGAUUCGGUGUUAUCAAGCUUGUGCAGUAUGUCAUCGCUCAAGAGCGUUUGACCCAGCAAGUGAUGGAUUUCCUUCAUACCAUUGUUGUUAUGAAUCCUCAUAUCGCCAUUGGCAGGCCUCUAAGGCCAAACCAAGAAGGACACGUUGUGCGAGUCCUCCAUCCGCUCUCCCCGAAGGACGAAGGAUAUACCCCACUCCCGGGAAUAUUUCCUCAUGACCUAUAUUUUUUUCCUGUACCGUAGACGCCAUGGUUGUAAUCAUUAGCAUAGCUUUUGAUUGUAUGAUGUGAUAUCUGUGUUGUGUUUUAUAAUUUACUAUAUGGGUAUCUUAUGUCAAUUGCAGUUGUUUUGUUGCUAUGAUUUGAAAAUCGAUUGUUUCUUAUUGUAGCAAAUCUCAGGGUGAGAUUUUAUUAAAAGACCAGUGCGACAAAAACUUUUCCAGCAUAAAUUUAAAUUGCAUGCCCUCACGUGGUCCGGCUCACAUCCACACUAGAGUUGCACCAAUUAUUAACUUUUUCACUGUAACCACGUCACAUAGUGUGAGUAGAAUAUUUAUUCUCAUGUUAUUACUGGAUUGCAGUGGGAGUAAAGCUUUUGCUACCACCUUAGAAAAUCUCAAGGACAAGAUUUUUCUUAAGGGGGUAGAGUUUGUAACACCCCAAAAAAUUUAUCAUGUUUUUAUUAAUUAAAAUUUUGUUAGGGAUAUUAAUUUUUAUUUUCUAGAUCCUCUAUUGGUUUUAGAACCAUCCUUUUUCUUUGAAAUUAUAAAAUUUUCCCCUCCAAAUAGAAACCUUUGAAAAAUAUUGUGCGGCUUGAAUGUUUGAAUUAAAAGUAUUUCAUUUCAUUUUUAAAAAUUCAGGGAGAAAUAUUUUUAUAAUGAAGCUUGCCAAAUUUAAUUAUUUUAAUGGCCUUUUUGAAUUC